UGGAGGAAAGCAGGGGAUCGUAAGACCUUGCGCUUUUGGAGUGGCCGAUGCCUGAUUAGCUAGUUGGUGGGGUAAGAGCCUACCAAGGCGACGAUCAGUAGUUGGUCUGAGAGGACGACCAGCCACACUGGGACUGAGACACGGCCCAGACUCCUACGGGAGGCAGCAGUGGGGAAUUUUGGACAAUGGGCGAAAGCCUGAUCCAGCAAUGCCGCGUGAGUGAAGAAGGCCUUCGGGUUGUAAAGCUCUUUCAGUCGAGAAGAAAAGGUUGCGACUAAUAAUCGCAACUUAUGACGGUAUCGACAGAAGAAGCACCGGCUAACUACGUGCCAGCAGCCGCGGUAAUACGUAGGGUGCGAGCGUUAAUCGGAAUUACUGGGCGUAAAGGGUGCGCAGGCGGCUCUGUAAGUCAGAUGUGA
rnacentral:rRNA from 1 species